rnacentral:rRNA from 1 species
GAUGAACGCUGGCGGCGUGCCUAAUACAUGCAAGUCGAGCGAACGGACGAGAAGCUUGCUUCUCUGACGUUAGCGGCGGACGGGUGAGUAACACGUGGAUAACCUACCUAUAAGACUGGGAUAACUUCGGGAAACCGGAGCUAAUACCGGAUAAUAUUUUGAACCGCAUGGUUCAAUAGUGAAAGACGGUUUUGCUGUCACUUAUAGAUGGAUCCGCGCUGCAUUAGCUAGUUGGUAAGGUAACGGCUUACCAAGGCAACGAUGCGUAGCCGACCUGAGAGGGUGAUCGGCCACACUGGAACUGAGACACGGUCCAGACUCCUACGGGAGGCAGCAGUAGGGAAUCUUCCGCAAUGGGCGAAAGCCUGACGGAGCAACGCCGCGUGAGUGAUGAAGGUCUUCGGAUCGUAAAACUCUGUUAUUAGGGAAGAACAAAUGUGUAAGUAACUGUGCACGUCUUGACGGUACCUAAUCAGAAAGCCACGGCUAACUACGUG